GCGGGUGUGGCGGAAUGGCAGACGCGCAUGACUUAGGAUCAUGUGUCCUUGAGACGUGGAGGUUCGAGUCCUCUCACCCGCA
rnacentral:tRNA from 1 species